rnacentral:misc_RNA from 1 species
GAGAGAGAGAGAGAGAGACGUGGCGACGCAUUGUUCAAGUGGUGGUCAUGAUGGUGGUAACAGGGUGGGGGUGGGAUGGAGGUGGUGGCGGUGACGGUGGCAGCUAAGUGGUGGUGGGGUGAUAAUAGUUGUGGCGGUAGUGUUGAAAAUAAAAAGUAGAAAAAUAAAAAAAUAAAAGAAAGAAAACAAGUAAUUAAAAUUACAUCUAUUUUUAUUUGUAAUAGUGAUUACAUUACUUAAAGUGUAAUAAAUUAC